UACAGAGGUGCCAAGCGUUAGGCGGAAUCAUUGGGCGUAAAGCGCGUGUAGGCGGCUUGGCAAGUCAGUUGUGAAAGCCCGGGGCCCAACCCCGGAAUUGCAUCUGAAACUGCCUGGCUGGAGUCCCGGAGAGGAAGGCAGAAUUCCCGGUGUAGGGGUGAAAUCCGUAGAUAUCGGGAGGAAUACCAGCGGCGAAGGCGGCCUUCUGGACGGUGACUGACGCUGAGACGCGAAAGCGUGGGGAGCAAACAGG
rnacentral:rRNA from 1 species